rnacentral:rRNA from 1 species
UGGAAUGAUGGUGACCUAAACCCUCACCAGAGUAACAAUUGGAGGGCAAGUCUGGUGCCAGCAGCCGCGGUAAUUCCAGCUCCAAUAGCGUAUAUUAAACUUGUUGCAGUUAAAAAGCUCGUAGUUGAAUUUUUGCGUGGUGUUAAUAUUGACUGAUGUCGAGAUUGCACUUCGCUUUUGGGAUUUUUCCCUUUUUACUUUGAGAAAAUUAGAGUGUUUCAAGCAGACUUUUGUCUUGAAUACUUCAGCAUGGAAUAAUAGAGUAGGACUUUGGUUCUAUUUUGUUGGUUUGUGAACCUUAGUAAUGGUUAAUAGGAACGGUUGGGGGCAUUCGUAUUUAACUGUCAGAGGUGAAAUUCUUAGAUUUGUUAAAGACGAACUACUGCGAAAGCAUUUGCCAAGGACGUUUUCAUUAAUCAAGAACGAAAGUUAGGGGAUCGAAGACGAUCAGAUACCGUCGUAGUCCUAACCAUAAACUA